ACGUAAAAUGCAUGUUUAUUCAAACAAUUCUAGUGUAUUCUUUUGCUUAACCUUUGCUCCUGUUUAAUUAUUAUUCAAAGACGCGGUUAUGCUAUCGGCACCAUAAAAUUGUUAGGCCGAAUUUUGACCCCAAGUUUCUUUUUUCGUGUGUACAUACAAUGUCCAAGUUAAGAAUACUCGAAAUAGUAUUAAAAAUGACAAUACUACUAUGUUAAUGAUAAAAUAAAUCUAUUUGCAGAGAAUAUGUGCUUAGAAGUGGUAUAAUAAUUAAUUAUUCAAGAUUUAUAUGAAACUAUGCAUUCAUUCCAAUGAAAAAAAGCCACUUGUUUGGAAGAAAAUUAUAAAAAAAAAAAUCAUAAACAUAGUGAAAAAUGAAAACUGGUGUAAAAUAUAAAACUCAAAUAACUUUAUGAACAAAAAAGAAAUUAUUGAAAAAAAAAAAUAUAAGGCCAAUACUAAUUGGACUUUUGGGCGUGUUCUUAUGUUUGAGGUCGAAUUUUUUACAUUUACGCCAAAUAUAUACGUUUAUUGUAAUAAUUAGAUUGAAGUUCACUUUAAUAGUGAUCUCAUUACAAAUAUUCAUUUGUAUUUUAAUAAUUUUGUUAUCAAAUACGACAAAUAAAAUCCACUUACAAA